rnacentral:piRNA from 1 species
UGCAAUGGUAAUGAGCCGGAGAUAGUC